GCCGAAGUGGCGGAAUUGGCAGACGCACAGGACUUAAAAUCCUGCGGUUUGAAAGAAUCGUGCCGGUUCGAUCCCGGCCUUCGGCACCA
rnacentral:tRNA from 1 species